rnacentral:rRNA from 1 species
GUCUAUGGCCAUACCAUCCUGAACGCACCUGAUCUCUGAUCUUGGAAGCUAAGCAGAGUCAGUCUUGGUUAAUACUUCGAUGGGAGAACAUUGAUUUAAAAAAAAAAUCAUAUGUU